rnacentral:lncRNA from 1 species
AGCCAAGAUGGCCGAAUAGGAACAGCUCCAAUCUACAGCUCCCAGCAUCAGCGACGCAGAAAACGGGUGAUUUCUGCAUUUCCAACUGAGGAACAGGAUUCAUCACUCGGUGUUUGAUGUGAAGUCCCUUCAGCUCUCCAAGCCCCAGUGUCCUCGUGAAUCAAGCGGAGAUCAUCUUAAAGCCCUCAACAGGGACAAGUGUGAAGGAACCAGUAAGAGAAUGCUGAGAUCAGAAGCCUGGAUCCUGCCCAGCCCCAUCCCCGAUGGUCUCAUGCCAACCGUCAGGACCCAACGUUAUCCAGAGACUGGGCUCUAACCACAGCCUGGACUCCUCUAACCCUGGGCCCAGCCACAACCACUCUAGGACUUCUGCUUUGGAAAACAGAAAGCUCAAGCCCCCGAAAAUAAAAGUCCUGGAAAUGUUCCCAGUUAGCAGACACUAGGUCUCCCCUAGUGACACAGAGAGAAGAGAAACAAACAGGCACUAGGAGGGAUUGAGGUGGUCCCUCUGUCCCCCACACACUCCUUCACCCACUGGGCAGCUGCAGCAAUGCUCUCUGUCUUGGUGAUGUCCAUGGUCACCGUCUCCAGCCUGUCUGAAGUCUGGCCCCUCAGCUGCUUGGUCCCCUUCUCUGUCCUACAUGCAGCUCCCGCAAGCCUGUGCAUUCAGUUGUCUGGCCAGUAGCUUCCUGAAGCGUGAGUCACAGCUCAUGAUGAACACGUACUUGUCUCUCAGGUGACUCACCACCUGCCUCUCCCAGUACCAGUGCAGAAGGUAGUAUAGGCCCAGGAGGACCGCCAGGUAGAGCCACAUGGCUUUGCAGAGGACAGACCCAGACGGGCUGGGGUGAAGUGAGAGUCUGGCCUCUGUUCAGACAGGAGGACUUAAGAACACAGAGGGCUGAGGUAGGCAGGGAAGCCCUCAGGCAUUUUGGCAGAAAGUCCUCACUUUCCUCUCUGAUCACUGUCUUUCUGCACCAUUUUUUAUCCUGGCUUCAUCUCUCUGCUCUUUCAACUGCCUUUGCAGGUGUUCAUGCAUGCAACUGCAAACCCCAAGCUCUGCCCAGUGAGUAGUUAUCACUACUCAGCAAUGCUUCCCUAGUCCACCAAUGCCUCUCUGCCUUGCUGUGCCUACUCAGGUGUCCACACAGGGGCCCACACACACACACCAUGAAACACACCACUCUGAUCUACAAACAAGGGUCAGAACUUGUCUCUACAUAUCUUGUGAUAUGGUUUGGAUAUUUGUGCCACCAAAAUUGCAUGUUGAAAUGCGUUCCCCAAUAUUGGAGGCAGGAGCUGGUGGGAGGUGUUGGGUCAUGGUAGUGGAUCCCUCAUGGCUUGGUGCUGUCCUGGAGACACUGGAAUGAGUUGUGAUGGGAUCUGGUUGUUUAAAAGUGUGGCACCUCCCCAGCUCUCUCUUUCUUGCUCCCACUUGCCAUGUGACAAAUCAGCUCCCCCUUUGACUUCUGCAGUGAUUAUAAGCUUCCUGAUGCCUCACCAGGAGCCAAGCAGAUGCAUGCUUGUACAGCCUGCAGAACCAUGAGCCAAUUAAACCUGUUUUCUUUAUAAAUUACCCAGUCUCAGGUAUUUAUUAUAGCAACACAAGAACGGCCUAACACACAUUGUAUACCAACACUCCUGGACCAUGGUCUCCCAGAAAACAGACUUU